rnacentral:rRNA from 1 species
GACGAACGCUGGCGGCGUGCUUAACACAUGCAAGUCGAACGGUAAGGCCUUUCGGGUUACACGAGCGGAGAACGGGUGAGUAACACGUGGGUGAUCUGCCCUGCACUUCGGGAUAAGGCUGGGAAACGGGGUCUAAUACCGGAAAUGAACUGCUAUCGCAGGGUGAGUGGUGGAAAGAUUUAUCGGUGCAGGAUGGGUCUGCGGCCGAUCAGCUUGUUGGUGGGGCAGUGGCCUACCAAGGCGACGACGGGUAGCCGGCCUGAGAGGGUGACCGGCCACACUGGGACUGAGAGACGGCCCAGACUCCUACGGGAGGCAGGAGUGGGGAAUAAUGCACAAUGGGCGGAAGCCUGAUGGAGCGACGCCGCGUGCGGGAUGACGGCCUUCGGGUUGUAAACCUCCUUCAGCUGUGACGAAGCGCAAGUGACGGUACCUGCAGAAGAAGCACCGGCUAACUACGUG